rnacentral:lncRNA from 1 species
GGCUCUCGAGAUUCGGAGGGCGGUGCCUCUUCGAUUUUGGAGCAAGCAAUCUUGUUGGGAGUGUUUUCUCGAAUGUGAGUAAAGGUUGGGCAUGUUUGCUAGUCUACCUUGCCACGAAGCACAGAGGUUGACACACAGGGACUUUCCAAUUAUCCAGCAAUGGUACUGUUCAUUUACCCUCUCUUCGAUUUUUAAGAAAGUAGUCAUGUUGGGAGUCUGGCUCUCGAGAUUCGGAGGACGGUGCCUCUUCGAUUUUGGAGCAACCAAUCUUAUUGGGAGUGUUUUCUCGAAUGUGAGUAAAGGUUGGGCAUGUUUGCU